CUAACUCGUUACUUCUUUCAUGAAAUGAAUCUAUAAUAACCCAAACCCAAGGCCAGUCUUCGUCAUUUCGAACCCCACGGCGGCCCACCUGCCCCUAUAUAAACACAGACAAUUCGACAUUCUCGUAAUUACCAUUAUACCCCCACAUCCUCUUCCAGACUCCAGCUCCCCCUCUCGCCCCUCACCCCACUCUUCUCUCCGCAUUAUAUUCUCCAACAGGAGCUCCUUGUUCGAAAACGACAACACUUCUUCUUCUUCUUCUUCUUCAUCUUCUUCUUCAAUCUCUCAGGGUUCAAAGUCUUCGAUUCGAAUAGAUGGAAAAUGAAGAAUAUGACUCUGUCGGUAUGGUUAAUGAGCCUACCACAAGUCGUCAUGAUAAUAAUUCUCCGAAACAAGAUUAUUCUACCACAAGCGGGCUUGUUUGUGAUCCAAGUGUAGAUAGUGAAAGUAAGGAAGUUAGCAAACCUAUGGACACUGCCAGUAACAACCACAAUAUUCCAUAUAUCUAUAGGCAAGAUGUUGUGAAGAGAAAUAACAGUGGCAUGACGGGGAUAGUGACUGAAGUUGCAGGUGAAACAGAUUCAGAUAGCAGCAUUACUGAUGAUGAGGAUGAUGACGGUGAUGAUGAUGAUGAUGAUGAAGACAAUGGUGGCGAGAAUGAGGAAGAUGGUGAUGGAAAUAGCAAUGCCAAUGUCAAUAGUGAUUGGAAAAGAGGUGGUGGUAAGAGUGAUCCUCUGCCGGCAGACCAGGUGCGAGUACUUUGGAUGGAUGAAAAUGAGUCAACCGUAAAUGUUAAUGAUGUAGCAGUUGUUGACCGUGGAUUCUUACAUGGGGAUUUUGUUGCCACUGCUUCGGACCCAACGGGGCAAGUGGGUGUUGUCGUGGAUGUGAAUAUCUCUGUUGACUUAUUAGCUUCAGAUGGGUCUGUUAUGAAAGAUGUCUCAUCCAAAGAUUUGAAACGUGUAAGGGAUUUCACUGUGGGUGACUAUGUUGUCCUUGGUCCAUGGCUUGGUAGAAUUGAUGAUGUUUUAGAUAAUGUGACUGUUUUGUUUGAUGAUGGUUCUGUGUGUAAGGUUCCAAAAGCUGAGCCAGUACGUCUAAAACCAAUUUCCAAGAAUAUCCUUGAAGACGGGCAUUUUCCUUAUUAUCCAGGCCAGCGUGUAAGGGCUAGUUCUUCAUCAGUUUUCAAGAAUUCUAGGUGGCUAUCUGGCUUAUGGAAAGCUAAUCGGUUGGAAGGCACUGUUACAAAGGUUACAGUAGGAUCGGUUUUUAUUUAUUGGAUAGCAUCUGCCGGAUAUGGACCAGAUUCUUCAACUGCCCCUGCUGAAGAACAGAGUCCAAAAAACUUAAAACUGUUGUCUUGUUUUUCCCAUGCCAAUUGGCAACUGGGUGACUGGUGUCUUCUCCCCUCAUUGGCACUUCCGUCCUCCAUUCCCUUAGACAGUGAUUUAUCAAAAUUAGAACUGCAUCAUUCCAUCAAUAGUGAAUUAGAUUCUACUCAACUGGGAAGUGGAUGUGAUUCAGAAGAGGUUUCAUUGGAGGAAUCAAAUGAAAAUAGUGAAUCCAUGGAUCUUGAUCCUGUUCCUGCAGUGGAUGGAAAUGAUAGAAACUUUCCCAUCAAUGAGACCGAGUCUAGCUCUUGCGGUAGUUCAUUGUCAGUUUCUAAGGAGCCUGUUCACGAGUCUUGGCCUCUUCAUCGCAAGAAGAUCCGUAAAGUUGUUGUUAGGAGGGACAGGAAAACUCGAAAGAAAGAGGAAAGUUUUGAAAGAGCCCUUUUGAUUGUCAAUACAGUGACAAAGGUUGAUGUGGCAUGGCAAGAUGGAAAGAUAGGACACUGGUUGGACUCAACAAGUUUAAUUCCGAUUGAUAGUCCUGGUGAUCACGAGUUUGUUGCUGAGCAGUAUGUGGUUGAGAAGGCCACUGAUGAUGGUGACGAUGUUGGUGAAAUCAGGCGUGUCGGAAUUGUGAAAAGUGUGAAUGCCAAGGAACGAACAGCUUGUGUGAGGUGGUUAAAGCCAGUUACCCGUGCAGAAGAUCCUCGAGAGUUUGACAAGGAGGAAAUUGUAAGCGUCUAUGAGUUGGAGGGACAUCCGGAUUAUGAUUACUGCUAUGGGGAUGUAGUUGUUCGAUUAUCUCCAGUUUCUGUUUCUGCAGAAACAGCUACUGGCAUAGACUCCAUUGAUCAAGCAAAGCAGCAAAAUGGGCCGGAUGAGGUUAAACAGGAUAUGAAAAGGCACUCAGGAUGUAAGAAAGUAGAUGAUGUAUCUGAAUAUAAAGCUUGUAGUGGCUUCUCAGAUCUCUCUUGGGUUGGGAAUAUAACUGGUCUUAGCAAUGGUGAUAUUGAAGUUACAUGGGCUGAUGGGAUGGUUUCAACGGUUGGACCUCAAGCAAUAUAUGUUGUUGGUCGGGAUGAUGAUGAUGAGUCAAUGGCUGCUGGGAGUGAAAUUAGUGAUGAUGCUGCUAGUUGGGAAACUGUUAAUGACAAUGAAAUGGAUGCCCUUGAAAAUUCUCAAGAGGAAGAUGGGCUGCAUGAUGCCCACUACGCAAAUUCUGAACCAGAAGAAAGUGGAGAGAAUUCUGGCAAAAAUACAGCACUGUCAGUUCCCUUAGCUGCACUUCGGUUUGUUACAAGACUGGCCACUGGGAUAUUCUCACGGGGACAAAAGAAUAUAGAUCCAAGCUGUUUGGAUUCCAAAGUUGAAAGUGAGGUUGAAUCCCAGCAGAUCAUUCAGAUUUCUGAGGGAAAAGAUUCUAGUAAUGAGUCUAGUUCUCAGAAAUCAAACAUCAUUGAUAGUUUUGGUACAGAUGUUAAAGAAGAGUUUGCCUCUGAGGCCCAAAAACUGUUAGAAGCGGCAGAGGCUUCAGGUAACUUGAGGACUGAAGAAUCAAAUGCACCAGCAUGUUCUGGGGAUGACACUUGCGGUUUCAAACACUUCGAUAUAGCUAAAGAUCCCAUGGACCAUUAUUUUCUUGGUGCAUAUGGACAGAAUAACAAUGGAAGGAAGUGGUAUAAGAAGGUUCAACAAGAUUGGAGCAUCCUUCAGAAUAAUCUGCCUGAUACAAUCUACGUACGAGUUUAUGAAGAUCGAAUGGAUCUCUUACGGGCUGUUAUAGUUGGGGCAUAUGGGACACCUUACCAAGAUGGCCUCUUUUUCUUUGAUUUUCACCUUCCACCAGAGUACCCUGAUGUUCCUCCAUCAUCAUACUAUCAUUCGGGUGGCUGGCGGAUAAAUCCAAAUUUAUAUGAAGAAGGCAAGGUGUGCCUUAGCCUUUUAAAUACUUGGACUGGAAAAGGAAAUGAAGUCUGGGAUCCAAAGUCUUCUAGCAUCCUACAAGUGCUUGUUUCGCUCCAGGGAUUGGUGCUAAAUUCUAAGCCGUAUUUUAAUGAGGCUGGCUAUGAUAGGCAGAUUGGGACGCCUGAGGGAGAGAAGAAUUCGUUGUCAUACAAUGAGAAUACUUUCUUGCUAAAUUGCAAGACAAUUAUGUAUCUUAUGCGGAAGCCCCCAAAGGACUUCGAAGAGCUUGUUAAAGACCAUUUCAGGAAGCGUGGUUAUUACAUCCUUAAGGCCUGUGAUGUAUAUAUGAAAGGUAGUUUAAUAGGCUCUCUAACUGAGGACGCCUCUGUGAGUGAUAAGAGCAAUGCCAAUUCAACUUCAGUUGGUUUCAAGUUGAUGCUAGCAAAGAUAUUGCCGAAGCUUUUCGUGGCACUUAGUGAAGUUGGAGCUGAUUGUCUUGAAUUUAAGCAUCUGCAACAGUCUUAGCGUAUUUGGAGACAUCUUGGUCAAGCCACCAACUUCAACUAGAUCCAAACUCCAAUUCACCCACCCUUCUCUUUCUAUCAAGGUUCUGAUUUGCAGUUUGGAUUUUUGUUAAUUCAUAGUUUGGUGAUCUAGGACUCAAAUGGACUGGAGCUUCAGUAGUGAUCGGUAUUGGUGCUGUGGAUGUAUCAAUGGAAUGAACUAGGAUAUUUUAUUUAUAGUUUCAAAUCGGUGUGAUUAAAUUCCUAGCUGUGGGAACUAAAGGGGCUUCUAGUUUUCCUCUAAUUCUUCCAAUUUUGAAUUUUUGGGCGCAAUGGCUACUCUUAGUUCUUGUAAAUAGCCCAAUUUCCUGGCUUUUGUAUGAAAUUUGUAAAUAACAAAUUAUUUAUAGUUUGUGCUCAUCAAUAUGAUGGGUGGGAUUUGCUCGA